AUGGGAAUGAUGCUCUAUGGUAGAGUGCUUACCUAGCAUGUGUGAGGCCCUGGGUUCAAUCCCCAGCCCCCAGA
rnacentral:tRNA from 1 species